rnacentral:lncRNA from 1 species
AGGCUACAUUAAGAUAUAUCAAGGUUGGAGACCAAAGUUGAGAGGCUAAAGUCGGUAGUACAAGUUAAAGAUAGGGAGAUUGCAACAGUUACACGAAUAGUACAAUCUCGAGACUUGUCUAAAUUCCAUGAUUUCUCUCUAUUUAACAUUGAACAAGGAAGUUCUUUUCCACAGGAAGCCAAAGGUAAGGCUGCUUUUAAAGCUCAAAUUGACAAGCUACAGUAGGAAAAUGUUGAACUCCAGAGAAGGGUUAUUGGCAAUCAGGUUAUGGUAGUUGGAUGCUGUGAGAUAGAUACUAGUUUCUAUGUAAUAAUUUUAGUACUAAUGUUGUUUUCUGUUUGUGUGCAAAGCAAGUAAGAACUCAACAAAUACAUGAGAUGAAGAAGAAAGAAAAGGAGUACAUCAAAUUGCAGGUGAGAACCUACAGGGUAUAGGAAUACCUACAGGAAAGCUGGAUAUGUAUGUUGCUGCUGCUGGCAUAAACCCUCAAAGAGUAUGUUUUUCUUAGACAAGCUCAACGCCCUCCCUUCAUCCAAUGGUUGUUUAUCCAACUUGAUUUCAAUCAGUUGUGGCUAUUGUUUUAAUUGUUUAUAGGAUUGCCUGCAUUCAGAUUGUUUUAUCUUCUCAUGUUGGGCUACUUCCAAGAAAUUUUUUAAGCGAAGGGUGGAUAAUAGCUCGCUUGUUUAGUCUAAACUUGGGGGAUUUCAAAUUUUGCCCAAAUUUCAAAAUUUUUCAAAAGUUUUUCAUUACAAUAACGAGCAUCAUAACUUCUUAGAUCUUGCAUAAAAGGCAUGACUGUCAACCCUUGAGCACUAAGCUCGGGUUUGUGACGUGAGAUUCUGAAUUUUGAGAAUAAGCUUAUGUCCUUUUUGUUUUUGCUAAGUUUCAACUAAUACACUCGGUAUUUAUCUUUGUGCUUAUGUGAUAGAUUUGUUAUGCACUGUAGUGAUGUGGGGUGUUUCCUUAUUUUCUGCAUCUUAACUACCUUAUUUCCUGCAUUUUAACUAUCUUAUUUCCUGCAUCUUAAAUACCUUAUUUUCUGCAUCUUAAAUACCUUAUUUUCUGAAUCUUAGUUGGUACUGAAAUUUGGUUUGUUUCAGUGAAAGAGGCACUAUCAGCAUUGACAUGUACAUGUGAUUUUAGGCAUGAACCAGGAGAGUGAGAGUUUUAGUGUGCCGUGUUUAGAAUUUGCCGAUAUCUUUUUCCCGUUCCAGCAAGUAUUCCUGAUUGUGGGGGUAACUCUCAAGUCUGCAGUCUUUUCUUCAUGAAAUUUGUAGAUUAUCUAAGAAUACUAAUAUCAUUUAAUGUUGACAUUUUUUUAGCAACUUUUCUUAACCCCACUUUUUGAAUUUCAUUAAGUUUACUCUUGUUUAAUUGACAGAUUCUUCCAGUAAUGCUAGAUAUUGGUACUAACAACGAGAAGUUACUUAAUGAUUCUCUUUGUAAGUGAAAGGGAAACCUUCAUGUCGUUUAUCUCCAUAUUUUCCAUGUAAUGUAUUGUGCUUAUAUUGAUCUGUUUCUGUUGUCAAUGGCGAUAUAUUUGGGUUUUUUGUUGUUGUUGUGGUGGUGGUGGUGAAAUAUUUUAUUUAAGUCUCUAGUUAAUAUUUAUGCUUACUUAACAGAAAAUUUGUUGCUUGAGCUUGCUUCAUUUGGUUCUUUUACUUGUUUAAGUCCUCCUCUAACUAAUUAUACAUUUCGUCCUUUUACUUGUUUAAGUCCUCCAAAAAGUAUUCAUUACUUUAAUAAAUUCCCUCACCAGCAUCAUCACCUCUUAUUCAACAAACUGUUUUUUCCCAAAAGCAAAAAAGGAAAAAAAAAAAAAAGAUAAAGACAAUCAAGAACAACCAUCAACUACAUGAAAAAAAAAGAGAAGAAAAAGAUAGCUACCGAAAAACAUUACUACCCAUUUUCAUUAUCAUCAUCCUCUACUAUGCUUUUCCACCUUCUUCUAACCCAUUUUUCCAUUGCAGGAUUUAUUGGAGUUGAGGAGUCCCACAAUCUUUAUGUUCUGUUUGUUUUUCCAUCACUUUUUCAAGGCUGUUCAAUUGGAGUUCCAUCUUCAGGUAAUAUUAAUGUGUUUGUUUCUAAGAUAAUUUUGUUAAACACUUGUUUUUGUUGUCCCCAUCCACCAGCUGUUUGAUGAAAUGCCGCAUUGAAUAAUUUUGUGGGUUCUUGGGAAGCGUGUGAUCUAUGUGUUGUGGAAUUUGUAUAAUUAGUUAGAGUGAUUUAGGAAAACUUUUGUAUUUGUAGUUGAAUAGAUAAUUCAUUCCAUAUUUAGAGCAUGAUUAAGAGUUAUUUUGAAAUUGUUAAAAUUACUUCAAAAGAUAUUUGGAUAAUUUAAAUGACUUUCUAUUGUAUGUUGAUCACGUUUGAUAGAUCGAAAACUUUUCUUCUUCUCUUCUUCUUCUUUGUUUCUUCCUGCUGCCUAUUUGACCUGCAACUUUGAGUGUAGUUGCUUGGCUGUCUAAUUGCCACCACUCAAAGUCACUCCUUCGCCUUCUUAUCACUCUUAAUUUUCUUGACAACAAAGUCAAACUGCUACAGAACAAUCGAAUUUUCGUUUGAUUAAUUUUCUAUCCACAGGAGGCUUUUGUAUGUUGAUCACCCUUGUUUUCUUUGAAAAGUUUAAAAUUCCAUACACGAUAUAUUGGGAAACUUUCACAUUCCUCGGGACAUUAAAAGCUCAAGAGCAUUGAUUUUGAGCAAAAUAAAAAUGAAAAUCCCUUUUAAUUUCCAGCAACACCAUAUUUGAAGUUCAUUGUAUUUUCUUCUUCCAACUACAGGUUGACGUGAUUGUCUUGACAGAUGGAAGUCGUAUUCUUGGCCUCGGUGACCUUGGAGUUCAGGGAAUAGGAAUACCUAGAUUGGAGGGAGAAGAGUAUCUAUCUAUUGUUGAUGAAUUUAUGGAAGUCGUGCAUACAUGUUGGCCUAAAGCUAUUGUUCAGGUUUAUUGGUUAAGAUAUCAAAUUUUUAACUGUGUUCACUGCCAGAGUAAUCAGUAUCGUAAUCUCGCAAUUUGAUUUUGAAUGAUGCCAGUUUGAGGAUUUUCAAAUGAAAUGGGCUUUUGAAACAUUACAACGUUAUCGUAAGAGGUUCUGCAUGUUCAACGAUGACAUACAAGUGAGUAGUUCAUGUUGUAUUCAUGCAGUUGAUAAUUACUUAAAAGGACAUUCAUUUUCGUUUAUUUCAUUUCAUAAAGGGAACUGCUGGUGUUGCUCUCGCUGGACUAUUGGGAAAUGUGAGAGCUCAAGGGCAGCCAUUGAGUGAUUUUGUUAACCAAAAGAUAGUAGUGGUAGGGGCUGGAAGGUAUUGUCAGCUGUUUAACUUUAACAUUUUCUCCAAAUAGCAAUACUGCUAACUAUUUAGGGAUCAUAAGCCUUGUCCUCUUUGUUGAAACAAAAGUGGUUGUUUGAAAGAGGAAUUACUAUUACUAUUACUAUUACUAUUACGUGAAUAUAAGAGAAAUGAAAACUUUGGAAACUAUAGUUCAAUCCUUUUGGUUUAACCUUCAUUUGUUUCAACAUGCUGUUUUUUCUCCUCUUUCAACUUCAGUGUUGGGCUCGGUGUUCUUAACAUGGCUAUUCAGGCUGUUUUGAGAAUGGUAGGGAACAACGAUUCUACUGCAAGAAAUCGAUUUUUUUUCUAAUAGACAAAGAUGUAAGAAUCUUUUUCAAACUUUCAUUUCUCAAUUUAUGCAUCAGUCUGUCCAAGUUUUUCCUUCCAUGAGAGUUACUGAUUUCAGAAACCAAUCGGAUGGGGUUUGGAAUUUGGGUAGCUUUAUUAUGGGUUAAUUUGUAUGACGCAGUUUCGUGUGAAAAGUAUGAGGCAGUUGAAGAAGUUAAAUGACUUGUGGUGGUAGUAAUCAGUGUCAAACUCAUGUGGUUUUUAACUUACAAAGAAAGAGGAAAAAUAUCAACUUAGUCCGAUGCAGAUUAGGGUUUUAAGUCUUCUAUCUAAUUGUUUGUGUGAUAAAUGCAGUUACUUUAUCAAAAACAAAGAAGAAAAGGAAGGGACCACAAGAUUCUUUAGUAUUUUAAUUUUAUUGCAUUACAUUAUAUUCAAUCUUCAUUUUUCUUGGUUGUGCUGCAAAUGGUGUUUCUUCUAUUAUGGAUUUGCAUUAUACAACAUUGCCAUAUUAAGUCAUAAAGUUAUGAAAAUUAGAAACACACCCUUUGUAGGAGAGAACAUGAUCCUUCCUUUGAAGUAAAUUGAGAGAAUUUCCUCUACUGCCUCAAUUUUAAGGCUUGAGGUUUGAAGAACAAGGAUGAAUAAUCAACGAAAAAGGAAUGAAGAGGUUUCUCGUUUAGGGAAAAUAGCGAUUUUUCGUUUUUCAUACUUCCAAAACGACACAAGUAUGAACUUAUUGUGUAUUAAAUUGAUCGAGAGGCCUUCCAAUUGUUUGUUAAUCUAUAGUUUCUGUCUCUAUUUUAAUUAACUGCUACAUGUAGAAGCCUAACUAACUUAGUUAGAGUUCUAUCAAAAAAAGGAAAGAAAAAAAGGAAGAAGAAAGAUCAUGUGAUAAAUUUAUAGAAAUGCCAUGCAAUUAUUUUCUAACUAUUAAUUUAUGUUUCUGUGGUAAAUUACUGCUACUAGAAAUCUAAUUGUGUUCGGUUAGUUAGACUUCAUGGGUUUGAUUUUUUUUUUUUUUUUUGUUAAAGAGGUUCCAUAAGUAUACCGAUGGUUUUGAAAUUUUGAUUUGAUGCAUGUCUGAGAAAUUUCAAGGCUAAAUUAUACAGAAUACCCAUAAACUUUGUACUUUAUAUAAAAAUACCAUUGAAAAUACACCCAAAACAUAAACUACCAAAAGUGUUAAAAAUACAGUUAAUAUAAUUAUCCUAAUUUUAGUAAUAAAUGAAAUUGAGAGAACUUUCUUUGAUUUUCAGGAACAAGGAUGAAUAAUCAAUGAAAAAGGAAUGAAGAGGUUUAUCCAUGCAAGCUUCAAACCAAAGCCAAGGAUGUCGAUCCUUCCAGGGGAGUCCAAAGUUCUCCCUUAUUUUUCUCCCUUUAUUUUGAUUUUCAAAAGUUUGCAAUUUUUUAAGUGGGGGUGGGCAAUUGCUUGCAUGUUUAGUCUAAACUUGGAGGUUCAAAUUUUGCCCAAAUUUCAAAAUUUCUAAAAAAAAUUUCCUUACAAUAAUGAGCACUAUACCUUCUUAGAUUACUUAGAUCUUGCAUAAAAAGCAUGACUAGCAACCCUUGAUCACUGAGCUUGGGUUUGUGAUGUAAAAUUCUGAAUGUUGAUGAGUAUAUGUGCUGAAAUUUGAGAAUAAGCUGCCAGUGUUUUUUGGUUUAAGCCCAUUUUUAGCGAUAUCUUAUGGAGAUGUGAAUGCAUGAUUGAGAAAAUGGUAUGUGUGUUGUGAAUGCUUGAUUGCAUGCAUAUAAUAAAUAAGUGCAUGGAUACUUUUCUAGCUUUGUCUUCCUUUGUUUCUUUGCCAUGACUUACCUAUGAUGCGCUUAGUCCAAACCUAGCCUAGAUAGAGUUAAAAAAGGAUAGGAGGUACUCUUUAGAAAUUGAGAUGGUUUUAACAAAUUUGUCUUGUCAAACAUGAGUUUGGAGCCUCUUGUCUAGCCACAAUGAACUAAAUCCCUUUAGAAAGGGUGGGCAUUAACAAAUCUUGUUGUCACUUCGAAGGGAGCAGUCAAACUUAGAAACUAAGUGUAGAACCAUAGAAAGGUUACCCCAUCGGUUAUUGUGUGCGUACCAAAGAAAGAAAAGAGAGACUUGCAAAUGUAAAACUUAAGACAGCGAGACAAUUAAGAGCUAAAAAAAACAAAGAACAUAUGCAUUAUACAUCAGAAAAAUCCCAUAAAAAAAUGAAGGGAAACUUCACUUUUGGCCUAACCAAAAGCAGACCACCUACUCUUAGCGUUCUAGACAUAGCAUUGAGUUUGAUGAGGGCUUUGAAAAGAGGAGGAAUCCUCCCCGUUCCACACUAGGGGAAAAACGAGACUUGUCACUCCGAAGGGAGCAGUCAAACUUAGCAUUGAGUUCAAGGUAUCCUUCUUAGAUUCUUGAAUCAUGACUACAUUAGGACUACAAUGAGCACCAUUGUUAUGGAUCAAAAUAAAGUUCCAAAUGUUCAUCCAAUCGUGCCAUCAAAUGUGUCAGAAGGAAAUAUUCAUGUUAGCAUUGGAAAGACGUCAAUAGCAGUGGAAAGAAUUGAAGAAAAAAGUGAAACAAAAGUGAAUGGAGACAGGAAAAUGAAAUUAUCCCAGAAAAGCCAACAAUGUGUAGCAAAUGGUACAAACAAGAGUUGAGAAAAGAUGGGGCGUGAUUUCAUGGUUUCAAAUGGGAAGUCAUCAUGUGUAUUUUAAGGGAAAAUAUUUUGUUUUUCUAGUUCCUUUCCAGAAGAUCGGGUAUGUUGUAAAGAUUCUUUCCUCUUAUUUCAAACAGCAUGAUUAAUGUACACUAUGCACUUUAGGUUUUAGAUGUAUUAUUGUGGUAAAUAGCAUCCAUUUUUUUAAAAAAAUAACAAAGUAGAAGCCCUGUAUUCAAUAUCAGUUGACUUGAGUAAAGAGUAGUUCAUUACUGCUCCAACUCCAUGAUUUUAAAAGCAAGUCAAUGGUGCAGAUAGGAUUCUAGAUCUACCGUUUCUUUAACACUCCGAUCCUGUUAAGAGAAUGAUAUAAAAAAAAUGGAAAAAUUACCUUUUUAGUCCCCAAUUUUAUAGAAAUAGGUUUAUUGGUCCUUAGAGUUUUCAAAAUGUACUCUUUUAAUCCUUGAGUGCUUAAUGUUAUACUGGAGACUCUCAAAACCAAUUUUUAGAAGAAGUUAUUCUACCUUAAAAAUGUAUAAAGUUAUAUUGGGGACUUUCUAAACCAAUUUUUAUAAACUUAGAGACUAAAAAGGUGCAUGACCAAAUGGGUCUAUUUUUCUAAACCUGGAGACUAAAAAUGUACAUUUUUAAAACUCAAGAACCAAACACACGUGUUCUUCAAAACCAAAAACUUGGGGAGUAAUUUUCCUAAAAAAUUUAAGAUAGUGCCAAAUGUCAUUUAGCAUGUGAAAUAAUUACGAUUUUCAUUUUUCAUUUGAGGAAUAUGCCUUCAAAAUUUUUUUACAUUUUAUUUUUGAACACUAACAAACAUGCAUCAACUUUUGACUUCCAUAAUCCCAAAUAUUUUUUAUGUAUAUUUUGAUAUCAUAUUUGAAAUUCUCCUACUAGAGAGCUGAAAUUGUUGAAUUGAUAAAUCAAGGGGGAGGCGAGGUUGUUGAAGAUCACAUGAAGCAGAAAGUGCACUUCACUGUUGAAUGUCAUGGUGGGAUACCAAGGAGUACAGACGUUCAUAGUACUUAUGUGUCAAGUCAUCGGGUUCGAUCAUGUUUAGAGGUAAGCGAUAAUUAAUUGUCUUAUUUGUGAUUUCAAUUUAGAGCUCUACUAUUGGGUUUUGUUUGUGUUUCCCUUUUUGGACAUAAAAGUCCACACAAGGUUGAAUAGCAUAUUUUGUUUCAUUUAGUCACUGCAAGUUUGGAUUGUGUUUGGGUUGGAGCUUUGAAUUUUGAGGGACUUUAGUUUUGUGUUGAGCCACGCUCUUAUAAUAUGAAGGAUGGAUACUGUUUUUUCCAAAACCAAACGCACAUCAGUUUUCUAAGAUUAUCCAUUAAGGUUGGUCUGAAAAGAAAAGGGUGGUCUAUCUUGGAAAACAUAUUUGGUUGUUCUCUUUUUUCUUCACUCUGUCUACAUUUUGGAAAUAUGAGUGCUAUCAUUGUGUGAGAGGUUUCUUUAUUGACAAAAUUAAUUGGAGUUCAACAUUUGAAGAAGUCUUUCUAUGACUGUCCCUUGAACUCCAAAGGUUUGCACUCCAUCCCUGUGCCAAACAAAUAGAUGCUUCUUAUAUAUUUUUCUCUGGAAUUGAGAAAGUAUUGAUGCACACUUCUGUUAAAUGCGUUAAAUUACGGCUUUGAAGCCAAUUUUGAAUGGAUAGUUGGCGUAGAAACUGCCAUUAUUGAUGAAAUUUGAUACUACUGAUGAUUUUUAAUUUUAAUUUUAUAUUAUUAUUAAUUUCGUAGCCUAAUUAUGUUCAAUAUCUUAAACUGAUAUUUGAAAUGAGAAUUGAAUAUUUAUCUUGUUUUUAUUUGUUCACUGACUAUUUCAAAUAAACUCGUUAUGAAGGAUGGAUGUUUGUGGGAUACCAAUGGGCACAUUUUCUAUUCUCCUCUUCCUUGCUGUGUCCCUUUGCCUGGAUUUGAAAACAUACGGUUUUGUGUUUCACAAUAUGAUGACAAAGAAGAGUAUUGUUAAGAAAUCUGUGUUUUGUACUUGGGGCCAAGUUUGUGGAGAAGCUGACAAAGAAGGUAACCCAUCUAAUAUGCAAGUUCACCGAUGGGACAAAGUAUGAGGCUGCUUGUAAAUGGGGGAAAACAAUGCAUUACAGCUGAAUGGAUAUAUGAGUGUGUCAACCAGGUACCUUUGCGAUUUUGUUGCUUUUCAAUUAAAUAUGUUCACGUACAUGCAUAUCCUGAUAGAAUUCUAGACCCAUUGGUGUAUCCUUCUAUUAGGAUUGAUGUUUUUUAUGUUUAAACUUUUGGUUUCCUUUGCAUUUGGUUUAAUCCUUAAUGGUACCAGAUUUUCCCGCCAGACUGUUCGCUUGUUGGUCAAGACCAUUCAGAAACUUCUCCAAUUGGUGCUUUAUCUAACCAGUGGUCAAAAAGGUAAUUUUUGCCAUUGUCUCCUUGAUCUUCUUAUGGAAAGACCAUGCUGAAUUGAAGUGUUUAACAAGAACGGUCGCUGCCUGGAAAUAUAGUGAGACCAUUCAACGAAGUCGUUAUGAAAGAGUUUUAUUUUCACUAUAAGAGAAAUAUUUUUUUUAUAUUCUUUUAGUCUCUACUGAUGAAUUGCUUCCUAGAACAAUAUAAUUUAUAAUUUCUUUCAAAAUAGGUUUCGUUUGAGUAAUAGUGUUAAUUAUAAAACUCAAAUCACACCGUUUGCAAUGCCUUGAAAACCAGUAUUCACAAAUAAAUGCUAUCCUUGAGCAUUAACUUUUUUCAUGGGACAUUUGCAAAAAUGGUAAAACAAGUUAUAACUUUAUUAUUUGUGAAAAUGAUCAAAUAAAGUCCAGCCCACCCAUAUAAAAGCCUGGAUUUGAUUAUUUUUGCUAUAUUUUCAAAAUCACAAACCUUAAAGACAUUUUUGCAAAAUACCUAAACUAAUUUGCCACCCAAUAUAGUUUUUCCUUUUUCAUUUUAGAAAAACCAGGUUUGGAAAUAAAGGCAGUAGGUUAUUUCUUUAAAAACUAGCCAUUAAAUAUCCCUGUAUUCUAAGUGGAUCUUAGCAUAAUGCAAGCUUUAGUGUUUUUUCGAGAAAGACUAUUAUGUUCGAACACAAUUCAAUUUUGCCUUUGUAACUUGGUUUUUGAGACCUUUGUGUCUUGUAUUUUCUCAGAGCUGAAAGAAAAGAAGAUGUCAGCAAUUCUACUACUGAAGAUGGGACUGUGGGCAUAUGUGAUGGCUUUAGUGAAACACAAACAGAGUCUCAGGUGUGUGGCCAUUUUUCUUUUUGUGAACUAUAACUCUAUCAAUUAUAGUAAUUUUUUUAAAAAAUUGCCACCAUUUUCGUCAACUUGAUUACAAGAGGACUAAAGAACGAACUAUAACUCAUAAGAUUUUUUAUGGAGUAGGAAUUAGGGUAUUAUGGUCAAAUUCUUAAUAUAUUAGGAUUAGGAUUAGUUUCUUUUAUUAAUUAGGAUUAGUUUGAUUUUAAUAGAGUACUUGUCUUCUUGUAUUCACAAAUUUAAAUAUUAAUAAAAUUCUCUCAUUUGGUCUACAACAAAUUGUUAUCGGUAUUAGAAGCAAACGUUUGGACCAACUUUGAUUGCCAUCGGUGGAAAAUUGGAAAUUUUUUCGUGAUGUCUGAUCAGAAGAGGGAGCCUUGUGAGUUGUUCGCAUUGCUAAACAACAACACAUCUAACUGGGGGAACCCUUAAAAUUAAAAAAGAAAGGAAGAAGAAAGAAAUUCAUCCUAAUUUUGCAUGGAUGCAUUUGUACACAUCAAGGAAGACAGGUGAAGAAAAAAUAUACUAGUUGGCUAGUUGGUAUAGGCAAGAAACUCAAAUUUCCUCCCAAAUGAAGAAUUGGAGUUCUGAUUCAAGUGAUUCAAAUGAAGAAUUCUAACACAAUAAUUUUGCUCGUGCUUGAUUUUCUAAAAGAACCUAUCAUUAUCCACAUUUGAAAUUUGGUUACAGUGAUUCUAGCGAUUUCAACAAAGAUUCUAAUGCAGCUUGGAACAAAAUAACAAGGAUGGACGGUGGUAAAAAUAUCAAGACAGAUGGAACUUGUCUUGAUGAACCUUUCUUAAUGAGAAGAGGAAAAGUGAGAACAUUUUUUAUGAAAUUUGAUACUACUGAUGAUUUUUAAUUUUAAUUUUAUAUUUAUUAUUUAUUUCGUAACCUAAUUAUGUUCAAUAUCUUAAACUGAUAUUUGAAAUGAGAAUUGAAUAUUUAUCUUGUUUUUAUUUGUUUACUGACUAUUUCAAAUAAACUCGUUAUGAAGGAUGGAUGUUUGUGGGAUACCAAUGGGCACAUUCUCUAUUCUCCUCUUCCUUGCUGUGUCCCUUUGCCUGGAUUUGAAAACAUACGAUUUUGUGUUUCACAAUAUGAUGAUAAAGACAGAGUAUUGUUAAGAAAUCUGUGUUUUGUACUUGGGGCCAAGUUUGUGGAGAAGCUGACAAAGAAGGUAACCCAUCUAAUAUGCAAGUUCACCGAUGGGACAAAGUUUGAGGCUGCUUGUAAAUGGGGCAAACAAUGCAUUACAGCUGAAUGGAUAUAUGAGUGUGUCAGAUAGGUACCUUUGCGAUUUUGUUGCUUUUCAAUUAUAUAUGUUCACGUACAUGCAUAUCCUGAUAGAAUUCUAGACCCAUUGUGUUGAUAUUUCUUCUCUUAGAUAUGGAAUGAUUUUGUUUGAAUACAAAACUUUCAGAGAAAGAUUGUCUCUCUUGAUUUGUAUCGCCCAAAAGAAGUUAAAGCUCAAGACAGAGCGACAGGCUUAUGCACUGUCAGCCAAUUUCCUACUCAAGCUGCCCCCAAUGAUAGCCAAUGAAAGCAUAUCCCAGUUUCCUAUCCAUUCUGCCAUUCCGAGAGACCAAUCAGCUGGAACUAACAGUAGCUUUAUAGGAGCAGCUGAACGAAUAAGUUCUACGAAGAAAAGCGCAAGUUCUUUGACGAAGCCAUAGAAAAGCAUUCACUUUUGUUGGAAACAGAUCCACUCAAUCUGACUGCAUUUUGAAUUCCACACAAAACAAACUACAUCAAAUUCUUCUGUAGUAACUUCACACGUUCCUGAUGUCGCUUCCGCAAUUGAGGACUUGUUGGAGGCAGACAACUAAGGUAAAAUCUGGUUUGAGCUACAAUUCCAUUUUUAUUUUAUUUUUUCCUUCAAAUCCUUUUGUUUUCCUUUCUUUUUAAGAUUCAAGAUCAGAAGUCACCUGGAAAGACUGGCUGCGAUAAAAGUAUUAUCCUUCUAUUAGGAUUGAUGUUUUUUAUGUUUAAACUUUUGGUUUCGUUUGCAUUUGGUUUAAUCCUUAAUGGUACCAGAUUUUCCUACCAGACUGUUCGCUUGUUGGUCAAGACCAUUCAAAAACUUCUCCAAUUGGUGCUUUAUCUAACCAGUGGUCAAAAAGGUAAUUUUUGCCGUUGUCUCCUUGAUCUUCUUAUGGAAAGACCAUGCUGAAUUGAAGUGUUUAACAAGAACGGUCGCUGCCUGGAAAUAUAGUGAGACCAUUCAACGAAGUCGUUAUGAAAGAGUUUAUUUUCACUAUAAGAGAAAUAUUUUUUUUAUAUUCUUUUAGUCUCUACUGAUGAAUUGCUUCCUAGAACAAUAUAAUUUAUAAUUUCUUUCAAAAUAGGUUCGUUUGAGUAAUAGUGUUAAUUAUAAAACUCAAAUCACACCGUUUGCAAUGCUUAAAAACCAGUAUUCACAAAUAAAUGCUAUCCUUGAGCAUUAACUUUUUUCAUGGGACAUUUGCAAAAAUGGUAAAACAAGUUAUAACUUUAUUAUUUGAGAAAAUGAUCAAAUAAAGUCCAGCCCACCCAUAUAAAAGCCUGGAUUUGAUUAUUUUUGCUAUAUUUUCAAAAUCACAAACCUUAAAGACAUUUUUGCAAAAUACCUAAACUAAUUUGCCACCGAAUAUAGUUUUCCUUUUUCAUUUUAGAAAAACCAGGUUUGGAAAUAAAGGCAGUAGGUUAUUUCUUUAAAAACUAGCCAUUAAAUAUCCCUGUAUUCUAAGUGGAUCUUAGCAUAAUGCAAGCUUUAGUGUUUUUUCGAGAAAGACUAUUAUGUUCGAACACAAUUCAAUUUUGCCUUUGUAACUUGGUUUUUGAGACCUUUGUGUCUUGUAUUUUCUCAGAGCUGAAAGAAAAGAAGAUGUCGGCAAUUCUACUACUGAAGAUGGGACUGUGGGCAUAUGUGAUGGCUUUUAGUGAAACACAAACAGAGUCUCAGGUGUAGUGCUAUGCAAUCCAGAAGGGGGAAUGCAACUAUACCCAAUUCAUAAUUGUAUUUGGAAUACUAAUAAUUUUAGCACAAAUUCCAUCUUUCCAUUCUCUAAGACAUAUAAACCUUAUCCCUCUCACUCUAUACCUUGGCUAUAGUGCUCUUGCAACAUAUUAAAAUUCUCGUAAUUAAAAAUUCAUAUACAAUUUAAAUUAAAUUAAACAUCAAGACCCCUAAUGAAUAUGAAUCUCUGUUCAUUUUUCUUUUUAUUAAUAAACAAAAGUUUUUAGGUCCACUUCUUUCAACUAACCUCCUCAGGGAUCCUUAAUUAUCUCUUUCCAUGUUCAUAACUACUCUAGUCAUGCAAAGAUUAGGGUUCAUGGCCAAUCAACAAUUAAUCUGUGAUCAAGAUAUUAUAAACGUUAUUCACAUAAAAACAUGAAAAAGAUUAAGAGCAAAAUAAUCAGAUGCAUUACAAAGAGUAAUUCAUAAACUUUGUCUUCAUCUAUCCCUAGGAUUAAGAGUUUAGCUACCCCAUACUUCACAAUCUAAAACACAAAACUCAAUACAAAACCCAUAACAAAAAUUAAAGGAGAAGAAAAAGAAAAAAGAAGAAGAAAAGCUAGUGAUUCGUAUUAUUAUCAGACUGUGUAUAACAAUAUGUGUUUUUUAAUAUUCUUUGUUUCUAGCUCCAGUGUACCAAAAUAUUAUCACAAACUCCACAAUCCUUCUCUUUCCAAUCCCUAAACUAAAAGAUAAUAGAUUUAAACAAUAAAUCAAGUUAUUCGAGGUACUUGGAUCCUCUCCUUCUUGAGAUCACAAUCUCAAGCCCUAAAACCCAAAUAUUGCUUCUCUUCUCCAUUCCCCUAUCCCUCUAUUUAUAACCAAAUAUAACCCACUCCCUAACUAUUUAUGCCCUCAAUACCCAAAUAACCCCUAAUACCGAUCCUAUUCGUCUCAAGGUGGUUUCAAAAUGUAGACCAUUUUGGAGGGGGCGGUGACUGCAUUUUUACCAUCUUUAUUUAAUUUCAUCUAUGUAGAAUGCCAUAACUCACAGGUUGAUGACGGUGAAUGGGAGCUAUAUCCACAAGUAACUGCUCUAUGCAUUGGAAAUGCUAAAUACUUUGGCGGUGGUAUGAAAAUUUUGCCAAAUGCUGAUCCUUCCAACAGGAGUCUAGAGGUAUAAUUCGUUUCUGUGGGAUUUUGUUUGAUCACUUUUUCCUUCCUUGUCUUCUUAACUAUGUGAUGCUUUUCUUUGCAGGUAGUAAUUCUUCAGGAUUUCAAGUGGUAUGACUUUAUUCUGAAUUUACACAAAAUAUACAAUGGGACAUAUUUGACGGUGAAAAACGUAACAUCAAGAAGGUUAGUCAUCUCUUUAAAAAUUAUAAUGUGCCUAGAUUUUCCAUUUUGUAUUUCAAUUUUCUCUCUCCAACGGUCUGUUUUAUGUUGGAGACUUGUGGAAGCAGAGGUGAAGAAACUAUAAUUGAACUGGAUUUGCAUGGAGCAUUUGCGUUUUAAAUGGGCUUUAUGACAAAUAAUUCAAAUGUUUCUUAAAUGGGCUUUUCUUCUCUAACUCCUUUCUACUUUUUCCCUCCUCCCCCCUUCUCUCUCUCUCAUUUCAAAUUUCUUCCCCCACUUCUUCUCUAACGGCUGCCUCUCUCUCUACUUUCUCUCUCUUCUUCCCUUCUCUCUCUCUCAUUUCAAAUUUCUUCCCCCAACUUAUUCUCUAACUACUGCCUCUCUCUCUCUAUUUUCUCCCUCCUCUCCCCUUCUCUCACACUUUUCUGCCGUGUUUAGGAUAUCUUCUUGUCAAAUCGAACAUUCAACGUAUUUGUAAUUGUGAUUUUGGAAUUAAUGUUUGGUCAAUUUCUUUUCAUAUCCACAGAAUCAAUGAUUUUGAAGUGUUGAAACUUUCUUAUUUAAAUAUUUUAAAGAGCUAUGAGUUUUGAGGUGGAAAAGUUGUUCUCUCUGUGUUGUUUUUUCUCCCUGUUUUGUGGGGCUGUUUUGGAUAUGUUGUUUUUGGUUUUGGUUCUUUGGUGCUUUUGUUUUCUUCAUCUGUUUGUGUUGGAACUCCAGUAUGUAGUAUUUCAAUAGUAAACUUUAUUGAUGAAUAACGAUGUAAAUCCUUAGUACAAUAUAAGAAUGCAAAGACUCUCCAACUGUUUUAAUUUUAUUAAAGUACAUUAUAUUCAAUCUUCAUUUUUUUUGGUUCUUCUGUAAAUGAUGUUUCUUCUAUUAUGGAUUUGCAUUAUACAGCACUGCCAUAUUAAGGCAUAAAGUUACGAAAAUUAGAAACAUACCCUUUGUAGGUGAGAAUGUUGUAUGUAUAUAUAUAUAUAUAUAUAUAUAUAAAUUAGUUAUCUUUUUUAGUCCUAUAUUGUAAAAAAAUAUGAUUGUUUGUUGAAAAAAAAAGGACAAAACAAUGGACCAAUGGACCGCUAAUAUGAGUCGGUGAACGAGAUAAUUAAUUCUCUAAAUCCAUUUAAGCAAAAUUAAAAAAAAAAAUCUAAUAAAAACCCUACAUGUACAGUCUCUCAUUUCAAAUUUCUUUCUCCUCUUCUCUAACGGCCAAGUCUCCCUCUCCUCCCCCCUUCUCUCUUGCUCUCUUGUCUUCUUUGGCCUAUCUCUCAACAGAAACCCUAUCAUACCCAUUUUGCGGAUCCAUCUCCAUCUUCUUCUCUUAGUCGCGGAUCCAAUCUCCAUCUUCUUCUCUUAGUCGCGCAUCCAAUCUCCAUCUUCUUCUCUUAGUCGCAGAUCCAAUCUCCAUCUUCUUCUCUCAGUCGCGGAUCCAAUCUCCAUCUUCUUCUCUCAGUGCGUCCUUUCCAUUUCUUCGUACACUCCAUUUUCGAAACCCUAUCAUACCCAUUUCACCCAUCCAUCUCCAUCUUCUUCUCUUAGCGCAUCCUUUCCAUUUCUUCUUCUUCUUCUUUGUUCGUACACUCCAUUUUCCCUUUCUCUUCUCAAACCCUAAUUCUUCUUUGUUCGUACAACCAAAACCAGUUUAACCAGUGUUGAUUCCUCCUCUACUUCGACCUGUGAUGCUCUUUUCUUCUUCCCUCGCAAUUUCGAUUCCACCAUCCUCACCGAUUUUGGUUGCAAUUUCUACUCUCUUCAACCUCAACCUUCUGGAUUCCCUCACUCUCACCGGAUUGACUUCAAUGUCCUUGGAACCUCCACUACUACUACUACUACUCCACUCAUCAAAGAAUCCGCUGGAUUAUCAGACGCUCCUCUUCCUUUCCUUUCUAAUCCUUGUCUCUCUUUCAACUCCAGCGGUGAGCCCCGAACGAAUCGCAUUACUCCGUGAGUUCCCAAUUAAUUCCAUCUUUAUUUAAUAUUCAAUUGUCCUCUUUCCAUUUGUUUCAAUUAUUGAAUAGAAAGUUACUUGAAUGAACUAUGUUCUAAAUAAUUUCAUGUGGUUCUGGUAAAGCACAGUGCAUCCGGUCGAACUUCCCCCAUUAUGUAAUUUUAUGGAGGUAGUUUUGUAAAUUGGAUUGAAACAGGGGCUAUUCAAUGUGUAUGCAUUAAAAUAUAGGUAUUGUUUUUCAAUUAAAUAUAAAUCGAUUGAGCCUCCGAUGUGCUAGUAAGCGUCAGAUCUCCUCUGUGUAUAUAUAGUUAGGUACUUCUUCUUUUUUUUAGGUUCUGUCAUAUAUAUCACGGUCUGAAGUUGUAGCUGAACUUGCUUUCAUCUUUAGUUUCUAUCACUAUUUAAAGGUCAGAUUUUGUUCGAUUAGAAGAAUGUAAAUUUGUCAAGGACAAUAGCAUGCUUAGUUUAAUUGUACUCAAAUAUUGUUAAUAAAACAAUUGCUUUAUUUGUGUUGAUACCAUUAUUUGUGUGGUAGAUCUCUUGAUUCAUUUUGAUGUUUGUAUUUUGAAGACAUACAAAGGUCAUAAUACUAGUUGCUAUUCUUUUUAUCUUGGUACGUUUCAUUUUUUUUUAAUAUUUCACUGUCUCUAUAAUUGAUUGUACAAACAUAUCUCAUCAUUCAAUCACUUUUCAAGUUUUAGAUUCUGAAAUUUGUACAUAUUGGGGUUUUCCUUUUUCUUUAUUUUGGAUUAUUUCAAAUCUCCAAAGAUCUUUCUUGUAACAUUUGCAUAUUUUAGUUUAUUAAAAUCUUCGAAAGUAGAGGAGAAGGCUCCAAAAGCAUUCUGUCUCUCAUUGCCUUGCCCUAACAUUAUCAUCUGUGUAAGAUGUGUAAGAUGUGCCAAUGAGUAGACCAUGUUCUUUUACUUUUUUUUCCAUAGCUUUUGAACCACUUUCCCUUUCUCUCCUUCUCUUUCAUUCUUCUUUUAUGUUAAUUGGAAGAAGCUUUGAGGCCUCUCUUGAAAAUAAUGAGGUUUUGAAGGGGAUAGAAAGAGAGUGAUGGUGGGAUCCAUCAAAGGUUUUGGGAUUUCACACAAUGUUCGCAUCACUCUUUUAAAUGUAAUUAGAGGUUGAGGAGUUGAUCGCCGAUCAUAGAUAAGGAGGGGCUGGUUAGUGGCUUGAAAAAGAAUUCAGAAUAACAUUAAUUUUUUCUAAAAAAUAAAACCAACCUUCCGACGGUUGGUUAACACUCCUCGACAGUCGAGAUAGGGUAAGACUUGUAUUCUAGUUCUGUUGGUACCUGUAUUUGUGCUUCAUCACUUCAUAAUUGUACUUUUAUUUAUCCCCUUUGCAUGUUUCCAUGUGUUUCAUGUUUGUCUUUUAUGUUUCUUCUAUUUAUAUAUUUCUUCAUGUUCUUCUCCAUUCGGGUUUGCUCUUGCGGAGGUUACACAUUCAUUGUUGUGCUGGUACUUUAGUUAAUGAUGUCUAGUAAUUUUUGUUUUGCAAACUUUAGUUAAUGAUGUCUAGUAAUUUUUGUUUUGCAAAUUUUCUUGUUAGUGCUCAAGUUUGAUUUCAUACUGCCUUUAGCAUAGCUUUACGAUUGCAGAAUUCUUGCACAUUGCCCUUUUUUAUUUUGUUAUUACUGAUGGACUUAUUUGUGAUACCUUUAAAGAAGAAAAUUUAUGGCUAUUUGUGUUGAAGUUUAUUUUUUUGAUUAUUGGUUGGUUUUUUCCCUCCACUUUUCUUAAUAUUUUGAAGUGUGUAAUAAGGUAAGCAAUUUUUUAGUCCCCUAAAAUUUGUUUUGUUGAUGAAUUGUUUCCUUUUUUUUUCUCGGUUUUGUUUUCAGGUUUUCAUCAUUAUUCAUUUGGUGGCUAAAUAUUACUCAUGGGUAUUUGUUCGAUCUUAUUUUGUUGUGAUCAAUUGAUAUACAUAAUAUGCACUAUAAAUUUGUUAAAUUUUUGGAUUAUUUGCUUUUUUAAUAAGGUUGGAGGAACCUCAAGGUACGUUUUGUUAAAGCAUAUUUUAUAUUGAUAAAUUUGAAGUUGUCAAGUCUAUAACAAUGAUAAUGUUAAUACGAGUAAAUUUAUAGCAAAUUUAGUUGACUUAACUUAUUUACAUGCUGGUUGCUCGGACUCUUGGAAAAACGUUACGUGCAUUUUAACCCACGAUAAGAGAACUUAAGGUUGUUAUGACUUACAUAUCAGUUUUUGAGAUUUUCCUUUAUAACUUUUUCAUAGACCUUAUUGUAGUUUUUUGUUCUUUAUUUUUGUUUGUAGGACGUUUCUAGAGAAUGCAAGACCAUGUUUGAGUGAGAAAUUGGUCUCGAUGAAAUUGAGAGUUCAAUGAACAGCACAUACAAUGCAAGUAAAUCUACCUACUCAAACCCAUCUUCUAUUUCUAAAGCAGAAGGGCUUUCGGUGGCUGAACCAAGUGAGUGAUUAAGUUUUUUAUCACCCGUAUUAUUUGUUAUCACUAGGGAAAGAAAGCUGAGUAGAAAAAGUAGAAUGCCAAAUGGAAAAAAAAGAUUAGUAAGCAGCGUUAUUAUUUUAAAAUAGAAAACAAAAAUUAACAUUAUUGUUAAACCGAGCCAUUCUCGAGAACAUGAAAUAGAAUUGGAUAGCUGCCAUGCAUCGUGUCUAUGAAUGUUAAGAAUGAAACUAUCGGUAAGGUUAUAGAAUAAUCAUUCUACCAGCCUCAAUUAUGAUACAGGGUUUAUGAAAUAGAAUUUUCUUAUGUAUUGUAAUAGUAGAAGAUUCUUCGUUGGGAAGCAAAGCUUAUAGCUUUGAUGAGUAUCUAAAGGUUACAGAAGAGCAACUGAAAGCUUACGAUCAGCUCCAAACCAAUUUUCCAGCACAAAGCCAGAGUGGAUCCCAAGUACAACGGGAAGGUUGUUAAAAUCAAAUCUCUUAUGUCUUAUUUCAUAACUAUUUAGUUUUGAUCUUAACUACAACAAUUUUCAUUUUUUUCUAGGUGAACAUUGUAUGUGCUUAGAAAUUAAGUGUUUUGAAAAUUAGAGGUGAGCAAUCACACUUAGAAACUAAGUGUAGAACCAUAGAAAUGUUACCCCAUCGGUUCUAGCAACGCCUAGUUACCGCAGUUCAUAACAAAGAAAGAAAAGAGGCUCGUAAAUGCAGACCAUAAAAAAGUGAGAUAAUCAACAAUUAUAAAAAAAAACAUAUGCAAUAUGCAUUAAAAAAAGCUCAUAAAAAAUAUAGAGUCAAGUUAGUUAGGUCAAGUAGAACUUGUUGAGUUCCUCAACUUAAAUUUACUCUCUUAUCCAUUAGCUUAAGCUUCUAUAUGUAUUGGUGCUUUCUUGAUACACUCAAAUAUUUCUCUUUAUUACUUGUUUUCUCAACUGAUAUGUAUCAUAAGACCUUUUACAUGUCUUCAUCAACAUGAUACUUAAAAUACAAAGCUCAACCUCUUUUUGCCACUCCAUGGCAUGAGUAUCCUGGCCCAUUAGUCAUUUUUCUUGAAAACCUAAACCAGGUUAUGGAAGGCAUAUUUGAGAGUGUUUUUAGAAACUAGUUAACAAAAUUGAUUUUUACUAAUAAAUGUUUUGUUAAAAGUGAUUUUCAUGGCAUAUUAACGUUCGUUUGUGUCUAUACUUUUAAAAGUGAUUUUGUAACAUAAAAAGUAAUUUCCAAUGACUCGAAAACAUGUUUGGAACUUAAUAGAGGUAGGAAAAAUUCAAAUGCAAAAAUAGACAUGGUAUGUUGGCUUGUCUGAUUCUUACUUGUUUUCUUUUAUUUAUUUUUUUGAAAAAUUUGAUGAGAUAUGACAUUAGUUUGUUGUUGAUUGUUCUAUCAUUAUGGUUUUGAUCUUAACCAUCUUUUUCUCUCUCUCUUUGGUCUUUUGUGUUGCUUUUGAUUCUAUAUGUUCUUAAUUUUAAUGUCUUGGGUCUUUGUCGGUGGUGGAGAUUAGAGAUGCUUGUGUUCUGAAGAAGAUAAUGGAAGAAUUUUUUAUUUGUAUUAUGUGAGAUUGUUUUGAGUUUCAUUUUGCAUUUGUUGGAAUGGAAAGAAAAAUUACUCUGUUAUCCAUGCAUAGUUAAGUUUUAGUUAAGUCUACCUUGACAUUUCUCAUAACACGACCCGUCCUUGUCUUCUGAGCUAAGAGGAUCAGGCUUAGUCAAGUCUACCGUCACAUUUCAAUUUAAUGAUCUAUUAUGUUUGAUUUUUCGUGAAUUUGUGUUACUUAAUGAUCUAUUUUGUUUCUCGCUUAUCAAAUAAUUGGAAUUAAGAGGAGAUUUGUUUAACAUUUGAUUUGAAUGGUGAUGCGUUAAAGAUUCGAUUUUAUUGCUAAGUGUCUUCGUGAGAUUAUGUCUUUCGGUAGUGUUGAAAGAGCUCCUGUUUCUAAUUUUGGUUCAUUUCUUGUUAUGGGAGAUUGGUUUAAGAUAUGAAAUAAAUGUAGUUCAUUUCAGGGUAAUAAUGUUGCAAAGCUUUUUAAUAUUCCUUCACACAACCAUGGUUCCUUGUAUUCAGUCACCUUUAUUUUCUUGUGGCAGGCUACAUUAAGAUACAUCAAGGUUGGAGACCAAAGUUGAGAGGCUAAAGUCGGUAGUACAAGUUAAAGAUAUGAUAUGGAGAUUGCAACAGUUACACGAAUAGUACAAUCUCGAGACUUGCCUAAAUUCUAUGAUUUCUCUCUAUUUAACAUUGAACAAGGAAGUUCUUUUCCACACGAAGCCAAAGGUAAGGCUGCUUUUAAAGCUCAAAUUGACAAGCUACAAUAGGAAAAUGUUGAACUCCAGAGAAGGGUUAUUGGCAAUUAGGUUAUGGUAGUUGGAUGC